AACGAACGCUGGCGGCAUGCCUAACACAUGCAAGUCGAACGAGCCCUUCGGGUCUAGUGGCGCACGGGUGCGUAACGCGUGGGAACCUGCCCUUAGGUUCGGAAUAACUCCCCGAAAGGGGUGCUAAUACCGGAUAAUGUCUUCGGACCAAAGAUUUAUCGUCUUUGGAUGGGCCCGCGUUGGAUUAGCUAGUUGGUAGGGUAAAAGCCUACCAAGGCGACGAUCCAUAGCUGGUCUGAGAGGAUGAUCAGCCACACUGGGACUGAGACACGGCCCAGACUCCUACGGGAGGCAGCAGUGGGGAAUAUUGGACAAUGGGCGAAAGCCUGAUCCAGCAAUGCCGCGUGAGUGAUGAAGGCCUUAGGGUUGUAAAGCUCUUUUACCCGGGAUGAUAAUGACAGUACCGGGAGAAUAAGCACCGGCUAACUCCGUG
rnacentral:rRNA from 1 species